UACAGAGGUCUCGAGCGUUAGGCGGAAUCACUGGGCUUAAAGCGUGUGUAGGCGGAUGGGUAAGUACCUUGUGAAAUCCCACGGCUCAACCGUGGAACUGCUCGGUAUACUGCUCGUCUUGAGCCAACUAGGGGCGACCGGAACAAACGGUGGAGCGGUGAAAUGCGUAGAUAUCGUUUGGAACGCCGAUGGUGAAAACAGGUCGCUGGGGUUGUGCUGACGCUGAGACACGAAAGCCAGGGGAGCGAACGGG
rnacentral:rRNA from 1 species